AGUUUGAUCAUGGCUCAGAAUCAACGCUGGCGGCGUGCCUAACACAUGCAAGUCGAACGCGAAAGCCCCUUCGGGGGUAAGUAGAGUGGCGUCCGGGUGAGUAACACGUGGGUAAUCUGCCUUCGGGUGGGGAAUAACCCAGGGAAACUUGGGCUAAUACCGCAUAAUGCAGCGGCACCUAAUGGUGAUUAGUUGUUAAAGCGGGGGAUCGCAAGACCUCGCGCCUGAAGAGGAGCCUGCGGCAGAUUAGCUAGUUGGUGAGGUAAUGGCUCACCAAGGCUGCGAUCUGUAGCUGGUCUGAGAGGACGGCCAGCCACACUGGCACUGACACACGGGCCAGACUCCUACGGGAGGCAGCAGUGGGGAAUUUUGGGCAAUGGGCGAAAGCCUGACCCAGCAACGCCGCGUGAGGGAGGAAAUCCUUCGGGAUGUAAACCUCACAAGCAAGGGAAGAGAGCUGCGGGCUGAAUAAUCCCGUAGUGCGACGGUACCUUGCGUAAGCCACGGCUAACUACGUGCCAGCAGCCGCGGUAAUACGUAGGUGGCAAGCGUUGUUCGGAAUUAUUGGGCGUAAAGGGCGCGUAGGCGGCUUGUUAAGUCGGCUGUGAAAGCCCGGGGCUCAACCCCGGAGGGUCAGCCGAUACUGGCAGGCUAGAGUACGGAAGAGGUAGCUGGAAUUCCCGGUGUAGCGGUGAA
rnacentral:rRNA from 1 species